rnacentral:rRNA from 1 species
ACACAUGCAAGUCGAACGGUAACAGGGAGCAGCUUGCUGCUCUGCUGACGAGUGGCGGACGGGUGAGUAAUGUCUGGGAAACUGCCUGAUGGAGGGGGAUAACUACUGGAAACGGUAGCUAAUACCGCAUAACGUCUACGGACCAAAGUGGGGGACCUUCGGGCCUCAUGCCAUCUGAUGUGCCCAGAUGGGAUUAUCUAGUAGGUGGGGUAACGGCUCACCUAGGCGACGAUCCCUAGCUGGUCUGAGAGGAUGACCAGCCACACUGGAACUGAUACACGGUCCAGACUCCUACGGGAGGCAGCAGUGGGGAAUGGUGCACAAUGGCUCG